UAUAUACUCCCUCCGUCCCAAAAUAAGUGACUCAAGUUUGUACUACUAGUAUUUUUAGUACAAACUUGAGUCACUUAUUUUGGGACGGAGGGAGUACAUA
rfam:Triticum aestivum genome assembly, contig: Triticum_aestivum_CS42_TGACv1_scaffold_603868_7DL